rnacentral:rRNA from 1 species
AGAGUUUAAUAAAACUCCUAAACCCCUGUGAACUCACUAUGUUGGAUUCUCGCCAGAGAUAGUCUGGUUUCUGCCACGCGGAUCGCCUGCCCGUGACACCUGUCACAGGUAGGUAUGCUUCUGCCGCGGGUUCGCAUGUAAAUCGUCUGUUUCACAAGGGACGGCGAUUUACCUGUGGAAGAGGUCCGCUAACUAUAUUCUUAUUAUAAAAUCUGUGAACUUACUGGUGUUUGGCUCGCCAGAUAUAGUCUGGUCCGUAAGCAAAUCGACUGCCUGCCUGUGUAACAGGCAGGUAAGCUUUUGUCGCGGGGUCCCGGAUCAACCCGGGCUAGAUAGCCACUUAACUAUAUACUUAUUAUAACCUAUGUGAACUUACUUGGUUUGACGCGGCAGAUAGCGCCUACCUCGCGAGACCCCACUCUGGGGAACUCGCAGAGUAGGCGCAGGGCUGUCUUUCCAUAUUCGUAAGACUCUCUCUAUUUUAUUAGAGAGCAGCCUACGCAGUGGACACAGUUAGUUACCUUAUACGUCGCGAGAUCGCAAGCGUUAUAGUGUAAAUACUGUGGAGGUCACCUAACUUUGUAUAUUUAGUUGGUUUAUCCGGGCUAGCAGUCAAUCUGACCUUGUUUGUUCACCAGAUUAAACACUCUGAAUAAACUCUUAAACUAGUUAAAACUUUCAACAACGGAUCUCUUGGUUCUGGCAUCGAUGAAGAACGCAGCGAAAUGCGAUAAGUAAUGUGAAUKGCAGAAUUCAGUGAAUCAUCGAAUCUUUGAACGCACAUUGCGCCCAUUAGUAUUCUAGUGGGCAUGCCUGUUCGAGCGUCAUUUCAACCCUUAAGCCCCUGUUGCUUAGCGUUGGGAGCCUACAGCCUGCUGUAGCUCCUUAAAGGUAGUGGCGGAGUCGGUUCACACUCUAGACGUAGUAAAAUCUUUAUCUCGCCUAUAGAUGAGCCGGCGCCUUGCCGUAAAACCCCUAGUCUUUCACAAGGUUGACCUCGGAUCAGGUAGGAAUACCCGCUGAACUUAAGCAUAUCAAUAAGCGGAGGAAAAGAAACCAACAGGGAUUGCCCUAGUAACGGCGAGUGAAGCGGCAACAGCUCAAAUUUGAAAUCUGGCCUUCGGGUCCGAGUUGUAAUUUGCAGAGGAUGCUUUGGGCGCGGUGCCUUCCGAGUUCCCUGGAACGGGACGCCUUAGAGGGUGAGAGCCCCGUACGGUUGGACACCAAGCCUCUGUAAAGCUCCUUCGACGAGUCGAGUAGUUUGGGAAUGCUGCUCUAAAUGGGAGGUAAAUUUCUUCUAAAGCUAAAUAUUGGCCAGAGACCGAUAGCGCACAAGUAGAGUGAUCGAAAGAUGAAAAGCACUUUGAAAAGAGGGUUAAAUAGCACGUGAAAUUGUUGAAAGGGAAGCGUUUGCGACCAGACCUUUUCCCAGCGGAUCAUCCGGUGUUCUCACCGGUGCACUUCGCUGGGUUGAGGCCAGCAUCGGUUUCCGCAGGGGGAUAAAAGCCCGGGGAACGUAGCUCCCUCGGGAGUGUUAUAGCCCCUCGCAUAAUACCCUUGCGGGGACCGAGGACCGCGCUC